AAUCAGAAGGGGCUUACUAGCAUUUAAUCUCUUGUAUUUCUACCCUUUCUCUUCCCUCCCUUCUUCCCUCUCAUUCUCCUUUCCUCUGUGUAUGCAUGAGUUCUUGGACAUAUGUGAAUAAAUGUGGUGUGUGUGUGUGUGUGUGUGUGUGUGUGUGUGUGCGCGCACCCAUGUGCAUGCUCUUAUAGCCAAACGUCCAGUGUCAUUGCUCAAGCUCUAUCUACCUUGGUUUUUGAGACGGGAUCUCUCACUGGCUUGGAACUUGCCAAGUAGGCUAGUCUGGCUGCUCAGUGAGUUCCGAGAUCUGUCUGCCUGUACCUUUCAUGGAAUUACAAUGAAAUGCUCUGGUGCUCAAAUUCUAUUUACCUGGAUUCUGUGGAUCAAACUUGCUCCCUCUUGCAGGCCUUAUACUGUGCUUUGUCUCUAAUUCUUGCUUUUUCUUUCAAGUAUUCUUAUGAGUAUUAAUAUUGGCCAUGUGAAACUCAUGACCAGAAACUUUAAAACCUUGGCAAUCGGGCCUUAAAAGGGGUGAGGAGGGGUGAUAAAGAACAGGCAGACUGGUAAAUAAUCCAGACACUUGUUAGAUGUGAGAAAGUUACUGCUACAGAGCAGCAGACACGAAGCUAUCCAGAAACAAACAGGUUGUGGGAAGGUUUCCCCAUAUCCUGUCUAGUAAAUUAAAUUAUAUGCUGCCUGCAUGAGAAGGACCACUGCGUUCUGGCAGAGAGGGGAGAAUGUUCUAUAUAAUCUGUCAGACCCAUGGGUCGGUGACUUCCCAGGCUUCAGCUAGGGUGUACCAAGGAGAACACUGUCUAGUAGGAAUCUCACUUUCCCCUUCUAUGUCCAUCCUUCUCUCCAAUACACACAAGUACAUUAGCUAUGUGACAACUAGAACACUAGAUAACAUAAAGCCAACAUGCCAGGGCACCGUGCUCCCAAAUGCUGAGUUAAAUCAUGGUCUUCAGUGGUGAGGGUUGUUCUUAUCUGCUGAAUAAAACUAAAGAGCCACAGACCUGCAUCCAGCUGUCAGCCUUAGAAAUGGUAACAACUCUAAUUAAUGAUGGCUGUCACAUGGCUGAGCUUACAGCUCAGUGGUAUAGUACAUGCCCAGCAUGUAUAAAGCACUGGUUUGAGAUUCCCAGCAUACCCUAAAGAGCCCUGUCAUAAUCAGAAAUAUAACAAAGCAGAUGCCUAAAAGAACAGAUUUUUGGUUUUGGUCCCAUUUCUAUUCCAAUUUAUGAGCUGGAAACUUUCUCUUCCAUUACUUUUCCUUCCAAUUUUAGCAGACAGGAGUGCUAAUCAGUUCUUCCGACUCCUUCAAGUGGCAUGUCUUUAGAAAAUCUAGUGAUAAAUCAUGGUUCUCCAUGGAGCUGAUAAUGGGCAGUUUCAGCCAACAACACAACUUCUCUGAAAACAUUCUUACAAACCAUCAUUUGAUGACAAAAAUCUUUCUAUGACUCAUGAAGGAUUUAGUAGUCACCAUGAAUUUUUUAGUUUCAAGACAUAGCAAUUAAGCAGUAAAAUUUCAUUGUAAAAGUGAUCCUAAGCAGAUACAAUAGUAUGGGACUCAAAUCAUCACAAGAGCUUCAGCAAAAGGAACAUAAAUUUGCAUCAUCAUAAGAGAUCCAGGCUAAGUUACAUGAAAUUCAUAUCAUCACAAAAGCUGCAGAAAAAUAAUAUGGGACUAACAUCACUACAAAGACUACAGCAGGAUUGGAAUUGCAACUUGAAACUAAGGAAAAGCAACAUUAAUUUUGUUUCAAGAAGUCUCCAUAAUGCUCAGACUGUGAGUUCAGAGAGAAAGGGCGUGGGAGGGAAAACAGCAGAACACUUACCAGACAGGGGGAUCAUUUUAAUAACUCUACAUUAACAGCCCAACCAGUGUCUCAGGUAGAUCAAUAGAAGAUCAAGCACUUUGUGUGUGUUUUGUUCACAGAACUCUCUCUGAGCACUUUUGUGUUGGAUUUUGUCUAAAGCGAAGCGGACAAAGCAUGAGGCAUUGCAUCUGCAAUAUCCCUCUCUAUCAGGUGACUCUAGCAAGUAGACAUUACUCUUCUGAGUUUGCUAGCGUUCCAUACACUCCAGUAAGUGGGGAGCCAUCUCCCCCACAUUUGGGAAAGCACAGCAUCUUGAGUUGUCAUUGCUGCUUUAGCACACUUUUAGUAAAAUGUCUAAAACUUUAAGUUUUACAAAUUGCCCAUUCUUAGAAAAAUAAUCUCUGCUGAUGCCACAGUACAUGCAUGAGAGGGCUUGCAGACUCGUGCUUUCAUUACUGACCUUUCAAAGGUUUUCUUUGUAUGUGGAUGAAAGCUUAGAAAAUGUUUUGACUGAGUACAUUAUGGGGAGAAAUGUAAAUAAUAACCAAAGCUAUUUAAACAUAUGUAUAAAAGGAAAACAUAUGCUUCCAACUAGGUUCUAUGACAGGUAAGGGACAUCCAUUUCAAUCCUUAAGUGGCUGAGAAUAAAAAAAUCCAACAAUGUGUAAAAUUUAAGAAUAUUUAACAGAGCAGGUAAGCUGAGCUGGCUUACUAUCCAGAAACGCACACAACUGCCUAUUUCUUCCUUUUUCAGUUUUUCUCCAGAGGACCCUGAGAGUCUGCAACUGCCUCCAGUCCUCUGACCAUGACUGGAAUACACUUCCAUUCCUCCUGUGGGUGUGCACUCAGAGCACCACUGCAGGAAUGACGAUAAAAUCCUGUCUAUCACGGGCCUGUGUUUGUUGAGACUUAGCAGUUGCUGGACAUACAGUCUUUUCAUUUCAACAGUUAAAAUGAAGAGAUGCGGCAGCUGAAGGGACUCAGACCACAAAGUGCCCUGCAUGCUAGAGAGACAACAGAGAAUGUACAGGGCAGACCUGGUCCAUGGAAGGAUCGCACACUGUGGAGGGGUAGACACUUGUCCAAUGGUAGGAAGGUAAGUUCAGGGUACCCAUAACCUACAGUAGGGUGAUUGCUCUAGGUAGACUUUGACUAGAGAGCUGAAAAUAACACAGAAUAGGAAAGACAAGGUUCUGACUUGAGCCAAGCCUUCAGAAGAAGGGAACUUUAAAAAGUGGUACUAGAUGACUGGCAGCUCCCUAGGGGUCUUUCUCUUGGUGAUCCUGAGAAUAUUCUGGAUAGCUUUCUACAAAGCUGCACAAGAACAGAGCUGUGAUGUUUAAGGGAUGGCCUAAGCAUAGUAUGGACAGACCGUGACACACUGGCCCUAUGAAAGGAAGCCAGGAGGUACCUUCUACAUUUGUCCAGGUGAGGGGGGAAUAUAAACUGGCUCAUGGUUACAGGGAAAGGGAUGGCCAUGGUAUAAAUCUCAACAAAUAUGAACAAAGGUUGUAAAAAUGAGGGAAGAGACAAAAUAUGGGGUGUUCCUGCAAAAUUUACUUUCAAAGAGGGAUUUGUAUGUGUAUGUGUAUGUGAUGUGUAUGUGUAUGUGUAUGUGUAUGUGUAUGUGUAUGUGUAUGUGUAUGUGUAUGUGUAUAUGUAUAUCUGUCUCCUGGCUUCCUCUAAACACUGUAUCCACUCCGUUCAUCAGAAGCUGCACAAAGCAAACAGAGCCUGGUAUGUGGUGGUGCAGUUAGAUAAAGUCAAGAGCAGGUGACAACAGAAAGAUUAUUUUCAGGGGACUAGGAGGUAUGUCAGAGGUUAAACACUUGCUGUGAAAUCAUGAGCACUGUGGCAAGAGGGUACCCUUAGGGUAAGACUAGUCAUAGGAACAAGCUUUGGGCUCAACUGAGAAAACCUGCCACAAUGAAUAAUGUGGAGUAGCAGACAGCGACAAUUUCUGACUUCAACCUUAAGCCUGCACACAUGUGUUUGUAUACAUAGAGACAUACACACUCACAUUCAUACACAUAUACAUAUACAUUAAUAUCAUUAAAGUUGUCUUAGAGGCUGGGUGUGGUGCAUGACUCUAAUUCUAGCAUUUACCAGACUGUAAGAAGAGGGUAUCAUGUUUGGGGCUAGCCUGGACUCUGGACAACUUAGGGAGACCCUAUUAAAA
rnacentral:sRNA from 1 species